rnacentral:rRNA from 1 species
UCCUUAGAUGUCCUGGGCCGCACGCGCGCUACAAUGACUUAUUCAGAAAGUUUACCUGGUUCGAAAGAAUUCAGGGUAAUCUUUGUAAUACAAGUCGUGUUAGGGAUCGAUCUUUGCAAUUAUAGAUCUUGAACGAGGAAUUCCUAGUAGACGUAGUUCAUCAGACUGCAUCGAUUACGUCCCUGCCCUUUGUACACACCGCCCGUCGCUCCUACCGAUUGAAUGCUCAGGUGAGCCAUUCGGACUUUCAUCAUGCUGGUUUCCAGUUUUGAUGAAGGAAGGUCUUGCGAACCUUAUCAUUUAGAGGAAGGAGAAGUCGUAACA